AAUUGUUCCUCUCUGUCUCAAUAUUGGCUUUGGUUUUGGAAAUCGUUGCCCAUAUGAGGAAAUGGAAUUUGAGCAUCAUUCAGACUUGGGAGGUUCAAGGUCGCCUUCAAUGGUGUUAUAUGACAUGGUUGUCAUUCAAAGUCAAUUAUUUUUCUCCAUUGUUGUUAUAAAAGAAGCUAAAGAGAGAUUGGGAAAAUAGUUGAGAAAGGGAAAAUAGAGGUGUUGGGGUUA